rnacentral:misc_RNA from 1 species
GAAGCGAUUUUUAAUCGAUCAUAGCCGAGAGGAGAUCACGCGCAAACGUCACUUAUUGUUAGUCGUGAUUUAUAAAAAUGACAGUUCAUCAUAGUUGUGCAUCGUGUUUUUUAACGUGUGUCAAAUGUCAAGAUUUCAUUAGAUAGAAAUAGUUGGCCACCCUUAGUGUAUACAACGUUAGAGUACGCACUUCGAAGAUGCGUUCAUUGCAGAUCAAGAGGAGAGCAGGGCUCCUGUAAAGAUCCAUUUACGAUGAAUUCGACACAAAUUGAG